UUUGAGAGUUUGAUCCUGGCUCAGGAUGAACGCUGGCGGCGUGCCUAACACAUGCAAGUUGAGCGAUUUACUUCGGUAAAGAGCGGCGGACGGGGGAGGAACGCGUGGGUAACCUACCCUGUACACACGGAUAACAUACCGAAAGGUAUGCUAAUACGGGAUAAUAUAUUUGAGAGGCAUCUCUUAAAUAUCAAAGGUGAGCCAGUA
rnacentral:rRNA from 1 species